ACCGCCGGAAGCACGGCUGCCGACGCCGCUCGGCCGCCGCAGAACUGAACGGCCGGGGCGGGCAAAGGGCGGGAAAGGCGCCGUGCUGGGCGCACGCGCGGCGCCUCUCUCGCGGGGCUGCGGCCCGUGAACGCGAGGUCCGGGCGCCGCACUGGGGAACUCUUUGGGGAGGAGCGCCGCUUCCUCGGAUGUUGCAGGCGCGUCCCAGGCUGCGGGAACCUGGAGACUGGCGGGGAGAGGAAGAGCGGAGAGACUUCCUUCCCCAGCCCCAGUUUCAGGGCGCAGGGAGCUUCUUUCGGACUCCGGGCUGGACGGCCUCGGACCAGAAGCGGCCUCGCCUUCCCGGCCCGCAGCCUCUCCUGAAGCUAAAGUUCCCAAGGAUUUGAGAAAACGACACUAAACCCCAAAUGAGAGGGAAUAAAGGAGUUCAUAAAAAAACUGAGAUUCCUUCAACGACUCCAUUUCAGCAGUCACUGAUCUGGUGUGGAUACGUGAAAUGACCAUCAGACAAAUGCAGAAGGAUACACAAGUUGGCUGCAAUACAUGGUGACCUAUCUAGUGGAAAGAUGAAACUUGACAGAGACCUGGAGGUGGGCUCAAACUCCAACUCUGAGAUGCAUAAAAAUCUGGAGUUCGACAUGCAACUGCAGUUGGUGUGUCUGCAUAAAACGAGCUGGUCUGCUUUCUACUACCAUCGUCUAAGAUGUUGAGUGGAUCAUGGAUGUCACCAUAGGGAGGCAGGGAGCGAACACUGCUGAUGACAGAAACAUGUUGAUUCACCAUCGAUCCAAGUCUGUGAGACUCUGGGUAGUUCACAUUGCUUCCGUAGUACCCUACAACAGAAAACGAUUCAUGUUUCUGGGAGAAGGACUGGCCUACACUGAGGAGAGGCGCAUCAGAGCAGCCUCUACACAGAGCUUACUUUGGUGGCUGACUGAGUCCACAGAUUUUUGCAACUCAGUAACCUCAAGG